GAUGAACGCUGGCGGCGUGCCUAAUACAUGCAAGUCGAGCGGACGGACGCUAAGCUUGCGUCUCUGAUGUUAGCGGCACGCGGGUGAGUAACACGUGGAUAACCUCCCUGUAAGACUGGGAAAACUUCGGGAAACCGGCGCUAAUACGGGAUAAUAUUAUGAACCGCAUGGUUCAAAGGAGAAAGACGGUCUUGCUGUCACUUAUAGAUGGAUCCGCGCUGCAUUAGGUAGUUGGUGAGGUAACGGCUUACCAAGGGAACGAUGCCUGGCCGACCUGCGGGGGGGAUCGGCCACACAGGAACUGAGACACGGUCCAGACUCCGACGGGAGGCAGAAGGAGGGAAGCUGCCGCAAUGGGGGAAAGCCUGACCGAGCAACGCAGCGGGAGUGAUGAAGGGCUGCGGAUCGUAAAACUCUGUUAUUAGGGAAGAACACAUGUGUAAGUAACGGUGCACAUCUGGACGGUACCGAAACAGAAAGCCACGGCUACCUACGU
rnacentral:rRNA from 1 species